AAAAUUUUUAUAAAGAGUCGAGCCUGCCCAGUGAGUAAAAUUAAACGGCCGCAGUACCCUGACUGUGCAAAGGUAGCAUAAUCAUUUGCCCUAUAAUUGAGGGCUAGUAUGAAUGGUUUGACAAGAGCAAUACUGUCUCUACUCGAAUUAAUAGAAUUUGGUAUCUAGGUGCAGAAACCUAGAUUUAAUUGAAAGACAAGAAGACCCUAUCGAGCUUGAAGUGAAUUGACUAGAAAAUGUAAAUAAAUCAAUUUUAGGUAAUAACUUUUGGUUGGGGCGACUAUGGAACAAAUAAAGCUUCCUUUAAUUUUUAUACUAAUAGGUUGUGAUCCAAUAUAUUGAUUACAAGAAAUAGUUACCGUAGGAUAACAGCAUAAUCUUUUUUGAGAGUUCUUAUCGAAAAAAAGGUUUGUGACCUCGAUGUUGGACUAGGGUAUCCUGAAAGGUGCAGAAGUCUUCAAUGGUUGGUCUGUUCGACCA
rnacentral:rRNA from 1 species